GAAAUGGUCUCAGUGGUAGAACAUCUGCUUUGCAUGCAGAAGGUCCCUGGUUCAAUUGCCACCAUCUCCA